rnacentral:lncRNA from 1 species
AAAGGACUCCCUGAGGAAUUGUUUGCUGUAAAGAUGUAUGCUUUAACAACUGAAGGGCCAAAUAAGGUUCUCAAGACAAGAUCCAAGGCGCAAGCCAACAGACCUGGCAUCAUCAAAUGAUUUGUUGCCUCUUAACUUCUUGCAUUGUUGUAGGAGUACUCAAACUUUUCUGGUGUGGGAUGUGAUUUUAUCUUCCUAUGUAAUUUAUUAGUGUAUUACCUCAAAUUGUUUUUACUUUACAAGCUCCUUGUGGACAAAUUUUGUUCUUUUUCGUUUGAAGCUGUGUAUUUAUCCCUGGUAUACCUUUGAAGCUGUGUAUGUUCCUAAAUUCAAUUAUUGCUUGCAUAUUUUAAUUUUAUCUUAAAUUUUUUUUUUUACUUUUUAAACAAAAAUAAAGAGUAAAAUUUGCUGGUCCUUUUUACCAAGUCUGUAAUCCUUAGUCUAAUAAUACUUUAGAUGUUUAUUUUUGCUCCUAUACGCAAGACCAUCUCUCUCCCUUUUUGUCGUGUUAUGUACCAAACGGUGUCGUUUGGCACUUUGCUCCUUACAACCCUAACUCUAAAUUCCUUUUUUUCUCUCUCUCUCUCCUACAUUUUUCCCCUUGACUUUCUCUCUCUACCGCCGGCGGCUCUCUCUCACUUCUCUCUAACCCUUCAGCUCACUUCCUUCUCUCUUUCUCUUUCGGUUGGAAGUAAUGAGAAUCUCCCAAUCCCAAAAAAGGAAAUCAACUUUCUCUCCCUCACACUGCCAGAACCUUCCUUUCACCCUCACAAGUCACUCCCCAACCGAACCCAUUUCCUAGAUCUCCCUCUUUGUAAACAUUGGAGUUUUGUUUUGAUGCUUUUUUGCUUUUCUUCUAUUUUUUUGCCUUUUUGGUUGUGUUAUCUUGGGUGUGGUAUCCGGAUGCUAGAUUAAAAAGUUAGACGUUUUUGCUUCUAGGUUUUAUCUCUUUUCUGGAGAUUUUUGUUGAUGGAAUCUACAGCUUGAGGGAAUCUAUGUUUAGUUUUUUUAUAUGUAAACACCCUUUUCCAUCAUAAGGUUAAAAUUUUUUUGUUCUUUGUUUGAGAUGGAUAUCAAACCCUAUCUUCAUGAACACCACUUGCUUUAUGAUGACUACAGUGAAUCAAAGGCUCUUUGUAAUAUAUGCAAUAAGAAAAUGGAUGGUUUGUCUUAUUAUUGUGAAAGAUGCGAGUUCUGGUUGCAUAAUAGCUGCGUUCAUCAACAGCUACCUCUUCAGAUAAGUGCACAUCCUCUCCAUUCCCAACACAAUCUUAGUCUCUUAUGGUCAAACCACAUAGAUUACAUAUGUGCUAAAUGUUUCAAUCUUUCUCGAGGUCACAGGUACCAUUGCAAAGAUUGUGAUUUUAGCCUUGAGUAUCAAUGUGCUUUUUCAACCAAUGAUGAGAAAAAUAGACUCAGUGAUAACACAUCCAAAAAAAUUGGUCGUUUCAACAAGUCGUUGACCCUCUUUAACUAUAGGAGAGUGAGAAAGUAUGAGCAUAUAUGUAGUUGGUGUGAGAACCAUUUGUCUGGAAUGUCGUAUGGUUGUCUUAACGAUGGUGUUUAUAUCUGGUUCCAUGAAUCCUGCCUAAUCAACAUGCCUAGCAUAAUCUUCAAACACCCAUUCCAUCCAUUACACCCUCUUUCAUUAAGCAACAUUCAUUUUGAUAAUGGAUUGUGCCAUGCUUGCAACCUACCAAUAUGGGAGUUCAGAAAAGCCUAUUGUUGUAGAAAAUGUAAAUUCCUCCUUCAUGUGCAUUGUGCCAAACUACGACCCAGUCUCAAGGUUGAGUUACAUGAGCAUGAUCUUACUUAUUUUCGAAUAAAAGCAAAUAUCGCUACCCACCUAUGCAGGAUAUGUGGUUUUAAUUUUGAUGCUUUAGGGAGAGAAAGUGUGUUUUAUCGUUGUGUUCAGUGUAAUUUCAAUUACCAUUUCAAAUGUCUUACAAUACCACAUUCUACUUCACACAAGUAUCAUAGGCAUGACCUUGUGCUUAUGGAUUCAUUUAUAGAAGAUUUAUCUGAAGAAUAUUAUUGUGAUAUAUGUGAAGAAGAAAGAAAACCCAAGCAUAGUGUUUAUUGUUGCAAGGAAUGCAAAUUUAUUGCUCACAUCGAAUGUGCACUCAAAAAGGCAAGGAAACAUUAACUCUCUCUCUCUCUCUCUAAAGAAAUUUAAUAAAUGUUUUUUUCAUUAGAUAAACUAUUAAUUAUUUGAUCAUAGAUCACAUAUAAUGUGCCAUUUAGAAAAAUUUUGAUGCUAAUAUUUUCACUUCCUCAGGUUGUAGAUGUAAAACUUGAUCAAUGUUUGACCUCUAGCUUGUUGGACAGCGAAGCUUCAACAUUGAAGGUGAUGGAAUUGGGUCUUUUAUAUUGAUAUUAUUGUGAUGUUUUCACUUGCCAAUAAUGUUUUUUUUUUUUAAGUUUACAUCACUUGAGGUCUUCUAUGAUUCCUUGGAUUUAUAUAUUUUAAAGAUUUUGUAGUAAUAAACACUAUUUAUUUUUUUGAAUAAAAUUCAAUAAAAAAAUAAAAAAUGUAAAUAAUAUAGGUAAGAAACCUCUACUUAUAUAACAGUAUUCAAAAUUAAUUUGGAGAUGGCUUUAGUAAAAAUAUUGAAUGCUGAAUAAAAUAAAAACACAUACGUGCAUCAUGUUAAUUUCUGAACAUAUAUAUUUGAUUAUUUAGUUAUUGCUUCCAUAGUUUAGUUUUAUCUUAAAUUUUCAUUUCUUUUACUUUUUAAACACAAUUAACAAGUAAAUUUUACUCUUAAUUUUGAGCUAUUUGUAAUUUUUUGUUUUCAUUCACCAUUUUGAAUUUGUUUCAAAACCAUCUGUAUAUUAACAUGCCAAUAAAAUAUAGAUAGAAUUUGUCACGUAAAUUCCACAUAUUAUGUGAAUUUCGUGAAUGUAGUCACAUGGACAUAAAUGUAGUGCUUAGAUGGCAAAUCCGUUCCAUAUUUAAUAGUGUAUUGAUGGAUUGAUGAAUUUAAAAUAAAUUCCAAAAGACGUAAAUGGAAAAAAUUGAGUUUGUUUAGUCAUAAAUGAAAAUAAAAUAUUAUGACAAUUUUACAAAAUAAGGAUGCACUUUACUUUAAAAAUGGAGGAAGAUUAAUAACUUUCUUCAUUCGACUUGGUUGGGCAGGUGCAGAUUGAACAUAUUGAUCAUCAGCAUCCCUUGAGCUAUAAUGAGUCUAUUGAACAAAGCGAAAGUCUUCUUUGCAAUGCUUGUCGUCAAGAAGUUUUUGAUCAACACUAUGCUUGUGAAGAUUGUAAAUAUUACUUACAUGAAAAGUGCACUACAUUGCCGUAUGAGGUGUCACACCCUCUUCAUUGCCAGCAUCCUCUCAAGCUCUUCACGGAUAUAGUUGAAUUUACAUGUCAUGCGUGUAGAGACCAUUCUGGUGGGUUUGCUUACAUGUGCCUUCCAUGUGAUUUCCAACUUGAUGUGAAAUGUGCUACCUCUCCAAUCCCACCUAAAAAUGAGGGGCAAAAGCUGAAAGAGAUGGAGAAAGUUUUCAAGUUGUGCCCUUUCAAUCAAAAUCAUAAGCUAGACUUCUUCAACCGUAGAUCCAAUCUCAAAGAUUUGGCUGUGGAAUGCAAUGCUUGCAAGCUACCAAUCUUGGGUCCAGGUUAUACAUGUCUUGAUUGUUUCAAUAUCAAAAUUCAUGAAUCUUGUCUUGCACUUAUGCGGGAGAUGCAGCUCAACUUUCAUCCAUUACACCUCCUUCAUCCACAAAUUGGCGAUUGGGAAAAUUGUUUUGCCUGUAGAUUUAAAAUCAUUGAAAGUAUCGAUUAUAGUUGUCGACAGUGUGAUUUUCACCUUCAUCUUCAUUGUGCUAAUUCCCUGAAGCUGGCCUUAAAAAUUAAGUCUCACGUGCAUAAUCUCUAUUAUUUUGGACCAGAUUAUGAGAAAUCCUACCAAUUAUGUAACAAAUGCAAAAGUUACAUUGGUAAGGAACCUUUCUAUUAUUGCGUGGAGUGCAAUAUGAAUUUGCACUUAAAAUGUGUUCCCAUACCAUGUUCAGUUAAAUCCAAAUGUCACAUGCAUCGUUUGACUCUUAAAGAUCAUUUUGUGGAAGAUGAUUCUGGAGAAUACUAUUGUGACAUUUGCGAAGAAGAAAGGAACUCAAAAAAUCAUUGCUAUUAUUGUGAAGAGUGUGCUGGACAAUUUGUUGCUCAUAUCGAGUGCGCGCUUCUUACAGUAAGUUUAUCACUAUCAUUUUCUCUGUAGAAGUUUUUUAUACCAUAUUUUGAAUUUUUAAAGGAAAAUAAAAAUCUAAGUUACACAUCACAUGAUCGUAUCCACCACUUCUUUGAUUGAUUGGACUUUAUUAAUGGUUAAAGUAACUCAUAAGUUCAUAUAUUAUAGAUUUUUCAUUAAUUUAAACUUUUUACCCAAAAGUGGUUAAUUUAGUCUUUAUACUUUCAGAUUUUAUGUAAUGGACUAAGUUUGCUUAGCUUUAUCUAAAGUAACCAUUAGUGGUACUAGUGUUACAUUGACAUGUAAGAUAAAAAAAAGGAAAUUGGCCAUGUGGUAUUUUUUUCUUUCCUUUUUUUUCUUCACUUAUUUGUUCAAAACUACAUUGUUUUAGAGUAUUAUUUAAAAGCACCUUUAGUUUUUAUUUUUCAUUUUCAUUCUUUCCUUCUCUCUAGCUCUUUUCUCUCCCUUUGAAUGCAAAUUCUGGCUGUCAAUCACUAGUGGUAUGAAAAUUUAAUAAAAAAAUAAAAAAUUCAUAUUUUUUUGCCUUAUUUCCCAUAAUAAAAAUAGCUUUUUCAAAAUCUAUUUUGAUUUUCCUAGAUUUAAAAUCAUAAACUUGUAAAAAAUAAACUUGUUUCUUUCCACUGCUAUGUUCUUGACUUGAUGUUAAUGAUCAAUGAUUGUGUUUUUAUGUUGUAGGAUUUUGAAUUUACAGAUGAAAAUUUUCAUGAAUUUUUCAACUUGAAAGAUGUUGACUCACCUAUUGAGAGUUCCUCUACGGAUGAGUUGCUUUCCCAACCCCAUGCUGAAGUUUACUUGAACCAAAACAGAAUGGUAGUUAAGUCUUAUUUAAGUUCAUUUUAAAGAUUUCAUCUUUUAUGCGAAAAUGAAUUUUAUUUUAAGAAUAGUUAAAUGAAAGAAAAGUUUCAAAAUUUUGUGGGUGCCAUUGUUGUUGCAGAAGUACUGGGUGGAUAAGAAAUUAAACAAAUACUGCUUCAUGUUGUUUGCAAGAGAUCUUUCAAUCACUUGGGCAGAAAACCACCGUUACUGGCGUUGGUCAUACCAAAGAGAAACAAACAGGUUAGCAUAGAUUUAUUAUCCAUUUAGAAUCUUUACUUCAUAGAUCUAGCUUGACAACUUUUCUAAUCCACAAACUUUUGAUUUUGCAGCGAUGUGUUGAUUGAUGUUGCCGAACUUCUAGAUGUGUGUUGGCUAGAAAUGAAUGUGAAAUUCAACGUAAAAAAGCUCUCACCGAAAACAUUGUAUGGACUUGUGUUCGUGCUUAUGUUGACAAAAGAAGCACGUGGAUGGGAAACUCCAGUGAACUUCGGAUUCACUCUUCCAAAUGGGUACAAGGUUGAACGCAAGGAAACUUUGAAGUCCAAGCCGAGAGGAGUAUGGAUAGAAAUCCCCGUUGGAGAAUUUACAACUUCAUCUGAAAUUGUUGGAGAAUUUGAUAUUUACUGUCACGAAUAUGCUACAGGGAAUUGGAAGAGAGGACUUAUUGUUAAAGGAGUUACUAUUCUGCCAAAGAAUUAAACAACAAAUUAGUAUUUUCUCACAAUAAAUCUGAAAGUACUGUAGUUUUUCUAUUUGUUCAUAAUCUUGCAAAUUCGAAAAUGACAUGAACCUAAAAGGAACAAACUCAUCCAAUUAUCACUUCAACAACCAGUUCUUUGGUCCUCAUUUUAAUGUAUAGGUUCCAUGCUAAAUGCAACAAACAAGGCCAUUGAUUUUUUUGGUAUUUUUUAUAAGAUUUUAUGACCACUAGUGGCUAGUGGUUGGCUGUUGAAAUCUGGGUUUGGGGAUCAAAGUCUAAAACAGAAUGAUUAGAUAGAGAGCAAGAGAGAGAAGGAAAGAAGGAAAAAUGAAAAAAGAGAAAAAUAAAUGUCCUUUAAAUUGUAGGUUUACAAUGAUUGGUUUUGGACAAAAGAGAGAAAAAAGAAAAAGAUAAGCCAUGUGACCAAUUUCUUCUUUUAGUCUAACAUGUCAACAUUAGCAUUUUUUUUUAUAUCAAUUUAACUUUAGUAUCACUAAUAGUUAAUUUGGAUGGAGUUAGACAAAGAGACUCAAUGGUACAAAUUCUGGGUAUACAAGGACUAAAUUAAUCAGUUUUGGAUAAAUGGACUAAAUUGACAAAAAAAAAUCUUUAAUAUAGGGAUCUAUGAGGUACUUUGACCAUUAAUAAAUUUCAAUCAAUCAAAGAGGUGAUGGCUAUGAUCAUGUAAUGUGUAUGUGUAAUUGAGAUUUUUAUUUUCCUUCAAAAAAAUUCAAUAAUGUGGUAUAAAAGAAAUCUAUAAAGAGAAAAAAUAAUUGUUGUCUCCUCAGCAUUUUUUGAAACCUUUUCAGCACUUUGAAGCUUUGUCCAUUAAUUAAUCAGCUUGUUUUAGGCAUGUUCAUAUAGUAACACAAGUCUUUACGUUGUAUAGAACCUUUUGUUCCUUUUUGAACUCCUAUAAUCUUGCGCAAGUUGUGUAUAUAGGGAGAUACAUGCCUAAGCUGCAGGGAUGGUUUUUGUUCACCUGCUUUUUUGUAUAUUGAUUUUGCUUAAGGUAUAAAGAUAUAGAAUUUUAAAAAAAAGAUACAAAAUUGUGGGAUUAGCAAAUUGAUAGCCACAUUUGGAAUAAAAAAGUAGCAAUUAAAAGAAGCAUUUUAUCUUUAAUGAUGAGUAAGCUGUCUUUAGCUUUUUUCUUUUUUAUAUUCUCUCAAUAAUUUCCUACUUUAAAUAGAGAAAAAAAACCACCGUUGACAGGGCAUGAAACACAUGCCACUUUCUUGUUUUUGGUAUAAAGGCUUGAGGGAAUCUUUGUUUAGGUUUUAUAUUUAAAUACACUCUCUCAUUAAGAGGCUAGUAGUUGAUCAUCUUUCUCUUCAUCUACCUAAAUUUCUUUCUUUGUUUGUUUCAGAAAACAAGAUAGAGAUUGUUCUGCUAUGAGGAUAUUCUGUACUUGUUUUUGACAGAAAUUUAGUACCUCCUUAAGUCCUCAACCGUCUUGGUGUUGCAAAAAGGGGGUUGUAGCUAGAAAUUAACAACAAAAAAUAUGCAAGCAAGGCUGUUGAUGUGAAUGAUUUAGCUUAGUUUGGGUUAUACAAGGCACAACAAUUCUUUGAACGUCAAAUACACUUUCCUAUAUUUAAGCUUUUUCUUCAUAAUGUGUAGGAUUGCAGGGCAUUUUAUUCAACUAUAUUUUGGUUAGAUUGUAGGGAAAAAGACAUAAAGGAGAGAAACAUUUUUAGAUAAUGAUUCAAAAUUUAAUUUCAUUAAUAAGUUAAAAAAUUAUAGCAAAUUGUCAAAAAGGUUCAAAAAAAAUUUUUCUGCUCCUUUUAUUCUCUCUUAGCCAGAAGCGAUGUGCAUUCUCGAACUAGUGAGUUGCAAAUAAGUGGCUGCUUUCCUGCAUAUCUUUGAGUUGAAUGACCAUAUACUUAUUUAUUUCGUAUAUUUCGAUAAAUUUAUGUUAAUAUUCAAGUUUUUAAUAUUUAAAUGAAUUUAUAUUUGAUGCAUUAACAAUGUAUAUAAGAUAUAUGUCAGUAUAUCAAAUAUGAAUCCUAUUUAAAUAGAUUAAGAGUACAUAGUUAAGAAUUACAGGGAGUUUAAUUUGAGAUAGUAGCUUUUUGUAUGAAAGAACAAAAAUAAGAUUUUAUUACUUUUUUUAUUUGUUUUUGUUAAUUUUAUUGUGUCAGCUUGAUUUUAUGUCAAUAGACCUAUUAAUUCAUCAUGGUUAGUAAUCAACUGCUUCAAUAACGAUGCUUCCCAAGUUUAAAAGGGAAAAUAGGAGAUUCCAAACUUAAAACCUUCAUGUCCUUGAUGCUUUUCUUAUUUCUCUGUCCCUUUUUAUUUGUUGUUUUAGUUACAAAAUUGUGGAAGUAGAAUCUUGAUUGUUGCAUUUUCAAUAAAAAGUACCAAUUUACAGAAGCAUUUUAUCUUUAAUGAUGAGUAAGUUUUCUUUGGCCUUUUUCCUUUUUUUGAAAGACAAAGAGAAUAGUAUUUCAUAAAAAAAGGUACAUCUUAAUUAAAUUAUUUGAAGGCAAGAAAUUAAGAUUAGCAUCAGUAUUCACUUCCAAAUUCUCACAAUCAUUUCUUUUUUUAAAUAAAAAAAAAUAAUGUUGUUUUUAUCACCCACUCAAUUAAUUAAUCUGAAAUUGUCGUUGUAUUAGUAAAAUGAAUCGUAAUCACAAUAUAUGCGCGAUGUGUUUUCAUUGGGCAAGUAAUUGUUAUAUAACUAAAGCAAAAAUAAAGUAAUUGCUAUAUAGCAUUAUUUUACUUAGAGGGAAAUAUUUAAUUAAAGAAAAAAAAAGUAAUUCCAAACUUAGAACCUUUAUCCUUUUAAAAACCAAUGAAUAGAGUAAUGUUGAUUCUCUAUAAAGUGAUUUGAUUUCAAAAUGCCAAAGGUCCUUGAUGCUUUUCUUCUUUUUUAAACAAAACACUCCCCUUGCUAAACUAAAGUGAGAAUCAAUUAAGUUUGGUACAACUUAUAGAUACAUUUAUGCCACUAGUAAUACUUUGUUUCAGAAUUAUCUUUUCUUUUUAAAAACAAUAAAGAUGAAUUAUAUAUUAAAAAAGAGUAUUCCUUUACAACUUAACAAAAAAGACCCACGACUACAUCAAAGGCAAGCAAUGGGACUUAAAAAUUUGGGUAGACCAGUACUUGCCUAAGGUCCCGCCAACUAGCAUUAAAAAGAAAAUAUUACAAAAGGUAAGAAAACUCACUCUAUACAUAACAAAAGGACCUCCGAAAAAGUGUUCAAUCAAUAUCCCUUAAAAAAAAGGCAGUAUAAACGAAGAAACAUCAGUGGUUCCAUAAAGGUAGCAGCAAGCAUUAUGAUGCACAACAAAAGUCAAUAAAGCAGGGGACAGAAUACCCCACACUAGGUUAAUGUAUAUUCUUCUCCGAGGUUGGCAGAGAGUCAUUGAUCCAAAACAAAUCUGUUGAUCUUGAGACACCUUCUUUGGCUAGGGUGUCAGCUUCUUCAUUAGCAGACCGAAAAAUGUUUUUAAUCACCAACCCAACGUCCUUGGUCAACUUCUUCCACAUACGUUGUCCAAUAAAAAUCACUCAAGUGUCUCGCAUUGCUUGAAAAGGACAAAAAGACUGCCACGUGCUACCUUAUUGGCAAUUGCUACUAGCGUUCUCCACCGCCCGCUUGGUGUCGCCUGUACAGCCAGAACCACAACCACCACCAUUUGCAAUUCUCCUGAGUCUGAAUUCUUAUCACAUUACUACUGUUGGAAAAGUGUUUGACAAACAACUUUCAGCUAGUAAGUUAGACUCACUAUAACCUUUAUUAUCAAAAAUUUUAUACGCAUCGCUUUUGGAUUACAAAGCAUUACAAGGACGAAUUAUAAAGCAUUUUAAUUCUCAUGGUUUUUUUUUUUUUUUUAAAGAGUGAUUUUGGGUUCAACUUUAAGAAAUUGUCUGCCACUUGUUCAUUGUUACAAAACAGGGUCGGAAGAGAAGCAGCUUCAACAUCAUCCACUUGUUCAGUCAACCAAUAAUUAACUGCUGUUUUCAUUAACCAAUUUACAUUUGAGAAACAACAAAAACAAUGGCAAAAGCACUUCUUUCCAUGAUCCUGGAGCAGCAGUUGGGUGGUUCGUUCAUUCCUCAAGAGAUAAAGCAUCAUGUCGGAUUGGCUGUAGGUCUUGAAGAAGAAAUCCAAAAACUCACCAGCAACUUUGACGCCAUUCAAGCUGUGCUUGAAGAUGCGAAAGGAUAAACCAAACAGGGCUUGCCUAACCCAAGGCGCGGAGGAUAAGGCAUACCGAUGUGGAUGCGGCCCAUAUCCCAAGCUGUUUCCCCACAGACCCUCCAACAGUGUCCCAUAACUCUAGUCCUACAUCCACCACGGAAGAAUUACAAGACUCCCAAGGAGCGGAGGACGGCAAUGGAGGCGGCUGGCUCCGAUUCCGAUGGCAGAGAAUUCAAGAACCCACAGGAAAUGUGGAGGGAGCAAAUUGGAGAUGCAGAUGCAGGAGAUAACCAUAAGAAGACUCAGUGGUACCGUGAAGGCGUUGCCUAUUGGGAAGUAAGUCUUUCUUAACUCUGGUUCUUACAUUUGUAUGUGGGUACCAUUACCGAACUCAUAAUAUAGUUAUUGGUUUCUUUGGUUGUGCUAAGAGAAGGGUGUGGAGGCAUCGGUAGAUGGGGUGUUGGGUGGAUUUGGGCAAGUAAAUGAGGCAGAUGUCAAGGGUAGUGAGGUUUUUCUCAAUACCCUUUUGCAUGAAAGAUUCUCGAUGGCGGUGGAAGAAAUCACCAUCUUGUUGCUCUUGGUACUUCUCUGUCUCUCUCUGUGUGCUCAACUUUAUAUUGUUUUUAUGAAGUUAUAUACCCAUAUAUGUUCUGUUGAGGUAGUUUGGUUUAUGUUAUUAUUAUUUUUUUUUUUUACACUAAAAAUCAACCUUAGGUUAUUAUGCGCCAUUAAAUGUGGAAGUGCAAAGUUGGUGAUGGGAUCCUACUUCAUUAGAAUGUAGCAUUGGUGGAAAACCUAAUUAACUAUAAAUUAAACAAAAAACAUAGUGGUGACAGCAGAAAGGGAUGUUGUGAUAGAUGAAAUUUUGAGUUAAAUAUCCGCAAUUAGUGCUUGAAACCGGAAACCAAGAUAACUUGAUAACACAACCAUGAAGAGUUUAUGUCCCAUAAUCCCACCCCAUAAAAGAAAAUAAAUAAAUAAAGAAGAGGAAAGCAUGGAAAUUUGCAUGAAUAUGCAUUUUCUGAAUUAAUUUGCAUGAUAUCUUCACCAAAAAUCAGUCUUAGUAGUGCAAGAAUUAUGUCAUGCAUUAGAGGUGUUGCUUUGAUUUAGAAUGCCAGCGUUAUAGGUGUUGCUCUUAUUUAGAAUGCCAUAAUGCAAUUGAGAAUUGGGUUUACUACAUGCUAUUUUGCUUAAUAAAAAACCAUCUUUAAGCAAUAUUCUUUUUUAAAUUUGGGAAGAAGCUUGCUGGGAGUUCUCUCUGUCUCUUAAGGGUUGUGUGCUUGUGGGGGGUGGGGGAUGGGGCACCCCUGGACCCAAUUUGAGGCCGUUGUGAGUGCUCAGAAUAAAGGAAAGAAAUUUCUGUGUUUAAGAUUGAAAAAUUACUUUCACAUUUCGUCAGCAGCGAAGAUGCUCUAUCUUGCUAAUAUUCUGGAACUUGUUAUCCUUUGAAUGGCAAAAAUUAGAUAUGUCUUCAGUAUGUUUUAUUACUAGGAGAUUGAUUCUUCGACAUGAGUAGGAUCUAUAAUUGCCUAUAUAUGAAGUUGGUCUUAAUACUUGUGAGUUGGUGGACUAUACUGGGGCAACUGACUGAAAUCUUGCGAAGGGGAAUUGUAGGGGAAAUUAUUUAGGAAACUAAGCAGUUGGAGUUUGGCUUUAAUAUAAAGAUAUUUAGAUAACUAAGCAGUAAUGGUUUGGCUUUAAUAUGAAGAUAAUUAAGUGAUUUCCACAAGUUUUAUUUUAAGUAAUAUGAUAUAAGAUGCACUUAAGCACUUGGCUCUAUGAUAGGUGCAUGUAUCCCCUGCUAAAAGAGCUGGGUUUAAAUUACCAUCACCAAAUAAAAUAAAAUAAAACAUGAUAAUUGAUGGUUGUGCCCUCAAACUUUUGCCUUCAUGUGGUUUAUGUUGGUGGAAUCAAAACAAACUCUUUUGAUGAUCUCAGUGCAGAUGAAUCUGGUACAUUUUAGGGCCUAGCAUACUAAAUUAAACUACGUCAUAAUUCUCAAAACACUGCAUUGCUGACCUUUAUUUUAAGUCCAUACAUUUAAGCAGUAGUAAUACCUGCAAAUGGUUCUAAAGCAUACUUGAAAUAUUGCUGGAGUACUGAUCUGUUUGGUAUUUCAUUUUUCUUGAUGUUUUUAAUUCUAAUUGAAAAUCAUAAAUCUAGUUGACAUUCUGAGCUUUUAGUUUCUAUGUUAAUUUAACAUACUGCAGAUUGUGGUUCUAGCAUAGGGAGAAUAACCAAUAAUCUGUUUGGUCAUUUUUCUCUUUCUAUUAGUUUAUUUUCAAUAUUCCUGACAUUUACCAUCUUUUCAAUUAAUUGAUAACAUGGUUCAUAGUGCAUAAUUUUUACUAGCUAAUGAAUUUCUCUGAUGUUUUUGAAUUGAAAGCAAAAUUGGGCGGUGCCUUUUAAAAAAUUCAAGUAGGACAUGAGGAGGGUAUACGUUAAUUUCGAGGUACCUGAACCCUAAGCUUAUAAAAAAUCAAAUACCCAAACCUUAUUAAUUACUUGAAUAAUUUUAAAAAUUACUACUUUAACCUUAACCCUAAUACAUUUUCACUGUUCUAUAAUUAUCCUAAUCUGUUAGAAAACCCCAAUUAGAUAAAAAAAUUAUUAAAAUGUUCUUCAUGAGUACCCAAUUACUCGAACCCAAACCCAUAUCCAUAUACAAUAAUAUUUAUCCUACAUAUUUCAUAUAAUUAACUACUAAUUAAAUUAAUAAAAACACAAAUAAUAAAAUUUAAAUUUAAAUAAUAAAAAAUUAUAAAGUGUGUUUAUAAAUGAACAUAAUAUAUGAUAUAAAUCAAUAUUAUUUUAUUAUUCAGUAAUUAUUAACUUAUAUAAUAGUAAUUAUAUUCUUUAUAAAUAAACAUAAUAUAUAAUAUAAAGUGUAUGUAUUAAAAGACAUUAAAAGUUAUAUACUCUAAAGUGUGUAUAUAUAUAUAUUAUAAUUAAUAAUUUUAUAAGUUAUAAUUUUUGUAAUGUUAACACAAAAUAAAAUGUAAAUAUAUUUAUAUUUAAAGUANNNNNNNNNNNNNNNNNNNNNNNNNNNNNNNNNNNNNNNNNNNNNNNNNNNNNNNNNNNNNNNNNNNNNNNNNNNNNNNNNNNNNNNNNNNNNNNNNNNNNNNNNNNNNNNNNNNNNNNNNNNNNNNNNNNNNNNNNNNNNNNNNNNNNNNNNNNNNNNNNNNNNNNNNNNNNNNNNNNNNNNNNNNNNNNNNNNNNNNNNNNNNNNNNNNNNNNNNNNNNNNNNNNNNNNNNNNNNNNNNNNNNNNNNNNNNNNNAAACAUAUCUCAGAAGUCAGAAAAACAUCACAGCCCCUUCCUUUUCAGCAUCAAAUAGAAAACAGCCCUGCCCCCUCAUCCAAUAAGUACCCAUUCUGUGCAACUCUGGAAGAAGAGCUCAAAUCAUGUGCUCUCAUUCUGCUUUCGUACUCCUGAAAAUACUCACAUGUACAGCAUAUAUUUGUUAAAUCUACAUUGCAUGGUAUAUGUUGUUGUCACCAGUAGAACAGGGAAGAGGCCAUGAAUCCUGCGGAUAAUUGUAUGGAACGUGCAGCGAAGAGGCCAUGGAACAUUAGUCAAUAUUGCAAUUUUGUAGCGUUUUUUCUGAGAUAACCACUCCACAGACUAGGCUCCAACUCAACAAAAGAAAAAAAAUUGCGGAGUCAUAGAUCUCCCAUGUUGGAAUUUUGAUUAGUGAUUUUCUCUUAACCAAUUCAAAACAUGUUAAUUUCUAUAUUUGUUGACCACAUGAGGCUAGGAAAACUUUCACCAAAACGUUCAAGGAAAAAACAGACCAGAAAUGGAAGUUUACCUACUUGAUUGUUCAGAGUGACUCACCUUCCCCAUCAGAAUCAAUUCUCCACCACCAUGAAUUGUCUCUUCCUCCUUCAGACUUUCACUGAUUUCGCAGUUUGCCCCCCUGCUAAGCUGCUGCACUUCGCACUGCUUCCUUGAUUGGGUUGACUAUCGCCAUGCGGAUUAUUAUUUGGACCCUUCUUUUUAAUGGGCUAAAACAUACCAGCUUAAUUCACAUCGGCCAAACCCAACUACAGGAGAGUGGCUGGUGGAUCUCUCCAUGGACCAAGUUAUCAGCAGAAGCCUGCAGGCCUGAUAGGACAGGCGGCCUGGAUAUGAUUUUCUAGGCUCAGGUUCUACAAGGUUUGACCCAAGAAUACUGUUAUUUUUAUUAAUAAAUACUUUAUUUUAUUAUAUUUUAAUUCUAAAAUAUAUUUUCAAAUACUAAUGUAAAAUUAUUUAAUAUAUAUAAUAAUAAAAUAUAUAUAAACGAGUAUUGGAAUUGGGUUUGGGACGGGUACCCACGUAACCUGAAUAUUAACAUAAUCAGGUUCAGGUAGCGGGUACUCAAGAGAUAGUACCUGAAUCCGAUAUGGGUAGUGAAAUCACUAUUCGAACCCGUCUUAAACCCGAUUAUAGAGUAUCAUAGUAUGAGUUGGAGCUAUGAUCUUAAUAAAGCUGCAUAGUACUUUGUGAUAGCUAUGCUUUCUGACCCCUCUUCCGUUUACCAUUCUCCAGGUUGAUCUACUUGAGCCAGUUUCACAUUUCUUAGAUGCUGCCCGUCAAAGUUUGUCUCAGGAAUAUUUUGUAGCCUCUGAUGCGCACAAAGCAAGUAAUUUCUACUGUGUCCCCCUUCAGGUAAUGUAGUUCAAGACUAUAUUCACACAUAGAUACAUGCUUCUUGAUGUGUUGAAGUAUUCAUAACUAUGGUUAAGUCUAUGUAAGCUAUGUAUUUCCAACUUUUCACUUUACCCUUUAUUGCGGAUGUAGCCAUGUAAUUGACACCUCAAGCAGGCAUGUUGUUUGAGUACAAUCCUGGGAAAAACUUACAAAAUUUAAUGUAAACAUGUUAAAUAUGGGUUUGCACCUGGAACUCGCAUUUGAAUCUGGGCAACAUAGUCUGUAUUCUGUAGGCGGCUUUAGUCAUGAAUCAUUAUAGGUAUAGCCUAGAAGAGUUAAUAUGACUGAUAUUAUGGGGAUGGGAUGGGUGGGAAGGAGAUUGGACAUGUGUAGCUUUAGCUUGCAAUGUGAAACUUAGAUGAUUAGACAACCUUUGGAUUCAAGUAAAUUUUUGCAAACAAUUAUUUACUCUUUUGUGUGUGUUGUGGGGGGGGAAGAGGGGAGCAGCAUAUUGGGUAGUGAAUGAGCUCUCUAAGUUGGUGACAUAUGUACUUGUCUUCUUCUGAUGCUUCUGGCUGCUAAAUUUUACUUUAUAAAACAGAAAUUUGACAACCAUAUUUUUUUGUCUUUUUCUUUUUCAGGAGUUCACCCCUGAUGCUGGAAGGUACAAUGUUAUUUGGAUUCAGUGGUGUAUCGGUCAUCUCACAGAUGAUGACUUUGUCUCAUUUUUUAAGAGAGCAAAGGUGAAUAAAUCUUCUUCUUGAGACAGAACUUACUUUUUAUUUGACAUGUUGUGCUGUGUGGAAGUGCAUGGAAAGAUCAAAAUUAUGUAUUGAAAUUUUCUUGCCUGCUGUCUACUAUACAUUCGAAUUGCCUUGUUCUGAUUUUUGAAUUAUGAACUGUCAGAUCAUUGCAAUGGUAUCUCAAAUUUUCCUUUUCCAAAUUUAUUGCUUCUAGCUUUCUCUCUUGUAACUUCUCUUAAACCUUCUUACAGCUAUAGGAAUUAAGGUUGUCUAGAGAACAUAACAUAGCAAACACCAGAAGGAUGAUAUAGUCAAACUCUUUUUUCUUUUUGUCCUUUCUUUUUUUAUUUUAAUUUUUUUUUUUGCAAUGUGUCGUGUUGUUCAUUCUAUUCUUCUUCCUGCUAGGUAAGUAGCGGAUUUGAUGGGUUGGUUUGGAGUGUUUGGGCCCAUCCCUAGCACCACAGAAACAAGGCUUGAUAAUGCUUUACAAUUCAUACAGCUAUUUUGCUAUCAUCCGUUUUCUCACCUUACAAAAGCUUGUGACCAAAUUUUGUUGUGCCUUGUGCAUUGAAAUAAGUUUUAAGAAAUGAUGGUAGUUUGACUUUUGUCCUUUAAGUUUGUAAAUGGUGGGAAAUAAAAUUAAAUCUAGAAAGUGCCAUAUUCAUUUCAUGGCACCUUGAGUCCCUACUCUCCUGCUUCCCUUGCUGCAACCUUUUUUUUUUUCCAGGUGCUGUUGAGCAUAACUUUUUGCUCUGCCUUCAAUGUAUUUUCAUCAAAAUUAAGCAAAACAUAUUAAUAAUAAAAAGCUCCAACAUGGAAAUUCUUGGGCAUGUGUAUGUGUAUGUAGUUUGGAGGCCUGAUCUCUAAGUUGUGUCCUGGAAAGACCCUUGUUGAAAUUUAUUAUUCUUGCAUAUAUGAUUUAAAAGAUUAUAAUUUGCACUUUAAUUUGAUACAGUAAUUAAUUUGUUGAUUCCAGGUAGGCCUUAAACCUGGUGGAUUCUUUGUCCUGAAAGAGAACAUUGCUAGAAACGGUAUUGUCUUUAUGACUCUUUGAUUUUUCUAAGCAUGUUUGUUUGCCCUCCCUCCCUCUCUCCCUCCCCUUUUUAAGAAGUGCUCAAGUUUUGUUUAAUGCAUUCCUCAAACUUUCUUAUGUUUUGGUAUUCUGUGGUAAAUUUUCAUAAAGUUGUGUUUUUCUUUUUUGAAAUGCCGCAUGUCAUCUCACGUAUGAGAAGGCAUAAAGUUGCUUUUUUGAGCUGAUAUUACUUUCUAACUUUGUCUUAUUAUGUAAUUAUCUGGCCCCUCUACAACUUUGAAGUAACAUCAUAGUUAAUAAUAAUUAAAAGAUAAAUGGAUAAAGGAAAUUUUAAGCUCCAUUUUCUCGUUCCAUUGCUUGAUACCAAGGGAAGCAGCAAGUUUUUGUUUUAUGCAUUCCUCAAACUUUCUUAUUUUUUGGUGUCCUGCUGUAAAAUUUUCAUAAAGUUGCUUUCUAGAGCUGAUAUUACUGUUUAAAUUUGUUUUAUUAUGUAUUCAUCUGCCCGCUACUGCUUUGACUUAUUCUAGUUAAUGUUUUAAAUGUUGAAUUAAGGAUAAACGGAUAAAGGAAUAUUUAAGCUCCAUUGUCUUGUUUCAUUGCAUGAUACCAAGGGAAACAGCAAAAAAGUGUUGAAACUUAUAAUUCGCAGGUUCAGGGAUGAGUCUCAUCUGCUCAAAUGGGUAUGGGGUAUAAUUUUACUAUGCUACCAAUUUGGGACACCUUUUGGUAACACUGUCUAUGUACAACUUUCUUCAGUGAAAAUUCAUGAAGGAAAGAUGACCUAGUGAUGUAGUGAGGAAGUAGAAACAAUAACAAGAAACCAAAACAGUGAACAAAACCAGAACAAAGGUUAAAAUUGAUGUAAAAUCAAAGUCGGAACAAGUUACAAGCCAUUAGGACCAAUUGUCGAGCAUCUUAAGGUUAAAUAAACAAGUCACUCCCAUCUGUAAUAGAUUGAUUCAAACCAGCUAGAUAACAAGAAGUCAACUGCUCAUUAGUCUCUUUGAAACCAACACUAGGGAAAGGUUGUUGAAACCUGAAGUGUACUCCUCAAUGGACAUACUAUUUUGCUUGAGUGAAUGAAAUAUCUCAUUCAACUCCAUUUAAUCAGCUGGCAGAAAUUUCCUCAUCUUCAUUUUCAUGUGUUCCCAAGUGUUGAUUUUUGGCUUGCCUUGAUGUGCUUGCCGCUCUUCAACGCUCUUCCACCAUUGAAGUGCAGUCCCUUCAACUUAAGCUUCACAAACAGCACCUUUCUUUGUUCUACCAUUGGUUUCUACUAAAAAUAAUUUUACAAACUCGCUUUCUGGUCUAAAUAAUCUUUUGCAUGCAUCUUUUUCCGGAAGUCAUCUACCUUAAUUCUAACUCCACCACCAUUUAAGUCUAGGCAUGUAACAAUCAGCCUUCCAAUCUACCACAAACAGCAUUAUUUGCUGCUCGAGCAUUAUGAAAAGGGUUUUCAGCCUCUCCAUAUUCAAUUUCAUCCUCAAGACCACCUUCCGGUAAACCGAAAGGGUCAGGAUUGCCUUGCGGAUUCUCCAUUCGGGCUCCCAUUGGUUCCUGUCACUUUAAAGCUUGCUCAGCCUGCAACAAAUCUUCAAUCAUACCCUUAAACUCAGCCGAUUCUGUUUGCUGGUCUUGAUUUCUUUUCCACGUCCACUAACAAGUCCUCUAACACGAUUAGCCAUGGUUUAUAAGCUAAAAUCCUAGUUCAACUUUAAGAUCUGUUCAUCUGAUACCUCUUUGAUGUAGCAUGGAAGUAGAAACAACAAAAACAAAAGAAAAACAAUGAAGAAAACCAGAACAAAGGCUAAAAUUGAUCUUAAGAUCAAAGUAGGAACAAGUUACAGCAGCUUUUAAUUGUAGCCCUUCGAUACAAACAAGCCCAUCUAAUCCUAGCCAUUCAAACUAAUUAAAAAUGAUCACAUGCUGAUCACGACACAUGACUAGAUAGAAAACAUAAUUACAAACUUUUAACUAAAGUAAAACAUAAUAAGAUAACCAAUUGGAGAUAAAUUUAAGAAUGCUCUUGCAUAACCUAGCCCAACAAUUAAACUUGCCUAAGGCUUGACUUAAACUAGGACUCAAGUCUCAUAAUUUGCUUGCAUUCAACUCACAAAAUGCUUGGAUUCAAUCAGUUUAUUGUUGAGUUAUUCUUGAGCUCAAGUGACCAAUCGAGUCUAGUUCAAGUGUUUAUAUUACUCAGUCAAGAUGGUUCAAGAGCGUAAUCAACUUUUAAUUUUUUAAUAUAUUUUAAUAUUCCAUGUAUGUAAUACUCGUAUAACACUGAAAAAUAUAAAGCUCUAUCAAGUCCAGCUUGGAGGUCUCAGACAUAUGUACCCUCCAAAAAAUUGUUCAAGUUGAGCUUCAGGUCUUAGUUUUGUAAUUGAGUCGUGUCAAGUUCAAGGUUGUCAUUUUGUCAACUUGAUUUGGCUCAGUUAUGCACCUAGACUUUAACCAGCUCAAACUGACUAAAAGGUUACUGAAUUGAAAGUUGAGACAGGGACAAUUCAAACACAAAGUAAUCUGGAAUUCCAAAAAUCCAAACUUAACACCUAAAAACCUUUAAAUGACAAGUGGGUAGUUAUACCCCUUUCGCAGUAAUUGCAUAAAUUCACUUAACUUGGCUUGCAUGUGGAGAACUUGUCAGUGGAAUUGUUCAGUGGCAAAAUGAGUUUCACUGAGCUAUCACUUGUUUGCAGGAUUUGUCUUGGAUAAAGAAGAUUGAAGCAUCACCAGAUCUGACUUAUACUUCAAGGCCCUAUUUCGUCGAUGUGGAUUGCACCUGUAUAAAAUAAAGGUACCUUCUAUUGCAUAUUGACCACUUAAUAAGCUGUUGAUAACGCUUUUUUAAACUGAAUAUUCUGUUAGUUUACUCGUAAAUGCUUUUGACAGUUGUUGUUUCAUGAGGCCUAAUCCUAACUAUAUUUUGACUUUGAAAGAAUAUACAAUACAUAAAGCUACACAGGUCUGCUGUGGUAUCUUAAAUGGUGCUCAAAGUUCUUAAUCAGCCCCAACUUCCAUUGUUUUGAUUCUGAAAAGCAAAACCCCCCUCACUGGCUAAAAUAAAGUGGGAAUCAAUUCAGUAUGGUACAAUUUAUAGAUAUGGUACAUUUAUGGCACCGAUGAUACUUUGCUGCAGAGUUACCUAUAUCAUGUAUUCUUUUAUCUUCCCUAUUAUCAAUCACUUUUACAGAGAAAUUAUGGUCUUGAAGUCAAAACUGGAUACUUUAAUAAUUAAAGUUAUAAUCAACCUCAAAAUUGUGUGCUGGGUUAUGGCGGUAAAGGGGUCAACUUGAUGUAAGUUACGCAACUUGGACUCACACCAUAAAACUCAACCAAAUUCCAACAAAGAUUAGUUGCCAACCCAUCCAGUUGUGUCUGUUACACAUAACCUUUGACUUGCAACAUAACAAUCCCAAGAUGACACAUUGAAAACUGAUAAGUUUAUAUAGAUCAUGCACUAAUAGCCUCAUAUGUUGCCAUUGUCUUAACAACUAAGUCUCUAAGCCAACAUUCAAAAAUUUAGAUCUUGAAACGUUAAAAUACAAGGUCUAGCUAAAAAUCCAAUGAUAGGUGCGGGCUUUAUAGGAUGAGAGAGGGCUUCUCCUAUUGUGAAGCCCUCGUUCCAUUGACUUUCAGAUGUGCCCCAAGAGCAUAACAUUAGUGAGAGGCGUUGUGUGAUCUAUGUUGUUUGGUAAGUUUUAGAUAUCAUAUCAUCUUUUGUAUCCUUAUAUUCUUAUUUGAUGUUGCUGAGUUGAAUCGAUAAGGGUGUGAUUUCUAGUUGCAUGUUCAAAGUUUCCAUUAGAAAUAGGGGCAGGUUUGGUUUGCAAUCCCCCUACUUCAUUUUAGGGUUUUCAACUAUCAUAAUGUAUCCUUCCUUUUGUUAUUUAUUUGUUUGUUGUUUUGAAAACAGGACCAGAAAGGACUCCCUGAGGAAUUGUUUGCUGUAAAGAUGUAUGCUUUAACAACUGAAGGGCCAAAGAAGGUUCUCAAGACAAGAUCCAAGGCGCAAGCCAACAGACCUGACAUCAUCAAAUGAUUUGUUGCCUCUACCUUGUUGCAUUGUUGUAGGAGUACUCAAACUUUCUGGUGUAGGAUGUGAUUGUAUCUUCUUCCUAUGUAAUUUGUUAGCGUAUUACCUCAAAUUGUUUUUACUUUACAAGCUCCUUGUGGACUAGUUUUGUUCUUUUUCGUUUGAAGCUGUAUAUUUAUCCCCG